GUAGUAUAUUGUGGGUAUAUACUUGGGGAUUGAGAGAACAGAAAAAAGGCCAAGGCAUCAUCUUCUUCUAUGACUCUGAGGAUCAAAGGCAUUUUCUUGUAUUUCUUGAACAAAGAUUUGUGGAGGACCUACUCUGUGCAGACAUUAUUAGACAAUAAAGGAAGCCAAGAGUCUCAGGCCCUUCGCCCUUGCUUCUCAGAAAAGAACAGCUAACCAUUGCCAACCAGAAUGCAUAGAAACUGAACUACUUCUGUGUCUGCAAUCGUCAUCUUGGACAAAUUACCUAAACUGCUUGGGCUGAGAUAUGUGAAUUCAGAUAUUGAAGCUUAUUUAUACCUUCAUAAUUCUAUGCUUCCAUAAUGAUUAAAUCCACCAUAGUAAUAAAUAAAGGCCUUAACCACA
rnacentral:lncRNA from 1 species